GAUGAAGAACGUAGCGAAAUGCGAUAAGUAAUGUGAAUUGCAGAAUUCAGUGAAUCAUCGAAUCUUUGAACGCACAUUGCGCCCGGCAGUAAUCUGCCGGGCAUGCCUGUCCGAGCGUCAUUUCACCCCUCGAGCCGCGUUUAGUGGAUCGGUGUUGGGGCACUACGGUAAAACGUAGGCCCUGAAAUGAAGUGGCGGUCCCGCCGCGGUGCCCCCAUGCGUAGUAACGUUUAGUCUCGCAUCGGGUCCCGGCGGAGGCCUGCCGUCAAGCCUAUUUAUUCUCAGAAUAGUUUGACCUCGGAUCAGGUAGGGUUACCCGCUGAACUUAAGCAUAUCAAUAAGCGGAGGA
rnacentral:misc_RNA from 1 species